GACGAACGCUGGCGGCGUGCUUAACACAUGCAAGUCGAACGGAAAGGCCCUGCUUUUGUGGGGUGCUCGAGUGGCGAACGGGUGAGUAACACGUGAGUAACCUGCCCUUGACUUUGGGAUAACUUCAGGAAACUGGGGCUAAUACCGGAUAGGAGCUCCUGCUGCAUGGUGGGGGUUGGAAAGUUUCGGCGGUUGGGGAUGGACCCGCGGCUUAUCGGCUUGUUGGUGGGGUAGUGGCUUACCAAGGCUUUGACGGGUAGCCGGCCUGAGAGGGUGACCGGCCACAAUGGGACUGAGAUACGGCCCAGACUCCUACGGGAGGCAGCAGUGGGGAAUAUUGCACAAUGGGCGGAAGCCUGAUGCAGCAACGCCGCGUGCGGGAUGACGGCCUUCGGGUUGUAAACCGCCUUCGCCUGUGACGAAGCGUGAGUGACGGUAAUGGGUAAAGAAGCACCGGCUAACUACGUG
rnacentral:rRNA from 1 species